CGAGAGUAGCUGCCGCGCCUGAGGACCGAGAGGAGCCGCCACCGAGAUCCGAGACUAGCCGCUGCGGCUGAGGACCGAGAGGAGCCGCCGCCUCCAGGUUGCGACUGUGACACACCGCCGCCUCCAGGUCGCCGCCGAGGUCCGCAAUCGCCGAAGCCGGCCGGCCCUCACCUCCAUCGACCUCCUUUCGGAUGGAUCCUGCACGUCGCUAGAUCGACGGAAGGGGACCUCCACCACCGCCGUUCUUCUCCCUCCCCGACCUCCCGUCACCGUGCUCCCCGGAUGUGGCCGUGGCCACAACCGGCGGAGCUUCCCGGCCACUGCCGACGACGCCAUCGAGGUGCAUACAAGAUGAAUCUUCAAGACAUGCUAUCUUGCUUCGUAAGUACUGCUAUUUAAGGGCCGCCGCCGCCGUCGUCCGUAGCAACGCAUAGGCCGCUUGCCCAGCUCCCUCAUUCCGAGCACGACACCGGACGUCGGAGCUUGUCGGGAGGCACGGAAGGACGAACAGAGUUCUACCGGUGAUCUGUGUUGUCGCUGACGGUGUCAUAGGAUCUGCGGUGCACGUGGACAAGGCAAUGGGGCUGCCAACCUACCUCCUCUUCAUCACAGCGCAUGUGGAUUCUUGGGCUACCUCAACUUGGAUCAGCUUUUUCAAGAGGGAAUGCUUGCCAU